rnacentral:rRNA from 1 species
UGGCGAACGGGUGAGUAACGCGUGGGUAACCUGCCUCAUACAGGGGGAUAACAGUUAGAAAUGACUGCUAAUACCGCAUAAGACCACGGUACCGCAUGGUACAGUGGUAAAAACUCCGGUGGUAUGAGAUGGACCCGCGUCUGAUUAGGUAGUUGGUGGGGUAACGGCCUACCAAGCCGACGAUCAGUAGCCGACCUGAGAGGGUGAUCGGCCACAUUGGGACUGAGACACGGCCCAG